rnacentral:rRNA from 1 species
GGGUUGUGAGGUUAAGCGACUAAGCGUACACGGUGGAUGCCCUGGCAGUCAGAGGCGAUGAAGGACGUGCUAAUCUGCGAUAAGCGUCGGUAAGGUGAUAUGAACCGUUAUAACCGGCGAUUUCCGAAUGGGGAAACCCAGUGUGUUUCGACACACUAUCAUUAACUGAAUCCAUAGGUUAAUGAGGCGAACCGGGGGAACUGAAACAUCUAAGUACCCCGAGGAAAAGAAAUCAACCGAGAUUCCCCCAGUAGCGGCGAGCGAACGGGGAGGAGCCCAGAGCCUGAAUCAGUGUGUGUGUUAGUGGAAGCGUCUGGAAAGGCGCGCGAUACAGGGUGACAGCCCCGUACACAAAAAUGCACAUGCUGUGAGCUCGAUGAGUAGGGCGGGACACGUGGUAUCCUGUCUGAAUAUGGGGGGACCAUCCUCCAAGGCUAAAUACUCCUGACUGACCGAUAGUGAACCAGUACCGUGAGGGAAAGGCGAAAAGAACCCCGGCGAGGGGAGUGAAAAAGAACCUGAAACCGUGUACGUACAAGCAGUGGGAGCACGCUUAGGCGUGUGACUGCGUACCUUUUGUAUAAUGGGUCAGCGACUUAUAUUCUGUAGCAAGGUUAACCGAAUAGGGGAGCCGAAGGGAAACCGAGUCUUAACUGGGCGUUAAGUUGCAGGGUAUAGACCCGAAACCCGGUGAUCUAGCCAUGGGCAGGUUGAAGGUUGGGUAACACUAACUGGAGGACCGAACCGACUAAUGUUGAAAAAUUAGCGGAUGACUUGUGGCUGGGGGUGAAAGGCCAAUCAAACCGGGAGAUAGCUGGUUCUCCCCGAAAGCUAUUUAGGUAGCGCCUCGUGAAUUCAUCUCCGGGGGUAGAGCACUGUUUCGGCAAGGGGGUCAUCCCGACUUACCAACCCGAUGCAAACUGCGAAUACCGGAGAAUGUUAUCACGGGAGACACACGGCGGGUGCUAACGUCCGUCGUGAAGAGGGAAACAACCCAGACCGCCAGCUAAGGUCCCAAAGUCAUGGUUAAGUGGGAAACGAUGUGGGAAGGCCCAGACAGCCAGGAUGUUGGCUUAGAAGCAGCCAUCAUUUAAAGAAAGCGUAAUAGCUCACUGGUCGAGUCGGCCUGCGCGGAAGAUGUAACGGGGCUAAACCAUGCACCGAAGCUGCGGCAGCGACGCUUAUGCGUUGUUGGGUAGGGGAGCGUUCUGUAAGCCUGUGAAGGUGUGCUGUGAGGCAUGCUGGAGGUAUCAGAAGUGCGAAUGCUGACAUAAGUAACGAUAAAGCGGGUGAAAAGCCCGCUCGCCGGAAGACCAAGGGUUCCUGUCCAACGUUAAUCGGGGCAGGGUGAGUCGACCCCUAAGGCGAGGCCGAAAGGCGUAGUCGAUGGGAAACAGGUUAAUAUUCCCGUACUUGGUGUUACUGCGAAGGGGGGACGGAGAAGGCUAUGUUGGCCGGGCGACGGUUGUCCCGGUUUAAGCGUGUAGGCUGGUUUUCCAGGCAAAUCCGGAAAAUCAAGGCUGAGGCGUGAUGACGAGGCACUACGGUGCUGAAGCAACAAAUGCCCUGCUUCCAGGAAAAGCCUCUAAGCAUCAGGUAACAUCAAAUCGUACCCCAAACCGACACAGGUGGUCAGGUAGAGAAUACCAAGGCGCUUGAGAGAACUCGGGUGAAGGAACUAGGCAAAAUGGUGCCGUAACUUCGGGAGAAGGCACGCUGAUAUGUAGGUGAAGUCCCUCGCGGAUGGAGCUGAAAUCAGUCGAAGAUACCAGCUGGCUGCAACUGUUUAUUAAAAACACAGCACUGUGCAAACACGAAAGUGGACGUAUACGGUGUGACGCCUGCCCGGUGCCGGAAGGUUAAUUGAUGGGGUCAGCGCAAGCGAAGCUCUUGAUCGAAGCCCCGGUAAACGGCGGCCGUAACUAUAACGGUCCUAAGGUAGCGAAAUUCCUUGUCGGGUAAGUUCCGACCUGCACGAAUGGCGUAAUGAUGGCCAGGCUGUCUCCACCCGAGACUCAGUGAAAUUGAACUCGCUGUGAAGAUGCAGUGUACCCGCGGCAAGACGGAAAGACCCCGUGAACCUUUACUAUAGCUUGACACUGAACAUUGAGCCUUGAUGUGUAGGAUAGGUGGGAGGCUUUGAAGUGUGGACGCCAGUCUGCAUGGAGCCGACCUUGAAAUACCACCCUUUAAUGUUUGAUGUUCUAACGUGGACCCGUAAUCCGGGUUGCGGACAGUGUCUGGUGGGUAGUUUGACUGGGGCGGUCUCCUCCUAAAGAGUAACGGAGGAGCACGAAGGUUGGCUAAUCCUGGUCGGACAUCAGGAGGUUAGUGCAAUGGCAUAAGCCAGCUUGACUGCGAGCGUGACGGCGCGAGCAGGUGCGAAAGCAGGUCAUAGUGAUCCGGUGGUUCUGAAUGGAAGGGCCAUCGCUCAACGGAUAAAAGGUACUCCGGGGAUAACAGGCUGAUACCGCCCAAGAGUUCAUAUCGACGGCGGUGUUUGGCACCUCGAUGUCGGCUCAUCACAUCCUGGGGCUGAAGUAGGUCCCAAGGGUAUGGCUGUUCGCCAUUUAAAGUGGUACGCGAGCUGGGUUUAGAACGUCGUGAGACAGUUCGGUCCCUAUCUGCCGUGGGCGCUGGAGAACUGAGGGGGGCUGCUCCUAGUACGAGAGGACCGGAGUGGACGCAUCACUGGUGUUCGGGUUGUCAUGCCAAUGGCACUGCCCGGUAGCUAAAUGCGGAAGAGAUAAGUGCUGAAAGCAUCUAAGCACGAAACUUGCCCCGAGAUGAGUUCUCCCUGACCCUUUAAGGGUCCUGAAGGAACGUUGAAGACGACGACGUUGAUAGGCCGGGUGUGUAAGCGCAGCGAUGCGUUGAGCUAACCGGUACUAAUGAACCGUGAGGCUUAACCUUACAACGCCGAAG